rnacentral:rRNA from 1 species
UACGGGGGGGGCAAGCGUUGUUCGGAAUUACUGGGCGUAAAGGGCUCGUAGGUGGCCAACUAAGUCAGACGUGAAAUCCCCAGGCUCAACUUGGGAACUGCGUCUGAUACUGGAUGGCUUGAAUUCGGGAGAGGGAUGCAGAAUUCCAGGUGUAGCGGUGAAAUGCGUAGAUAUCAGGAGGAACACCUGCGGUGUAGACGGCUUUCUGGACCAUAACUGACGCUGAGAUACGAAAGCGUGGGUAGCAAACAGG